UGGAUUUUACAUAAUUGUAUACAUAUAAGUCAUAAGUACCCCAGUAAAAAAAAGAAUUGUGAGUAAAGUAAACCAAAUUGGCAGUGACUUAAGCUCAAUUCGGUUUCGCGUCUAAACCGUAUUGGAACGUUAACGGAUUUUGAAAGCAGCUUCAUUUGCGGAAGAACUAUUAUAUGGACCCAGAAUUGAUGAUUCUAUCUGAUUUCCAAAAAAAAUUUCAUCUUCAUGUAAAUCUGAAAAACGGCCGCUUUUUUUUACGAAAAUCGAACGUUCAACUUUGACAGGUCGCCAUUUUGUCACCGCAAACCAUGUUUUUCGGAAGGACGUCACUUCAACAGCCGGACAUAACUCUGGAACUAUUUAAUAUUUUUAACUUUUUUUUUAAAUUCAAGUUUAAAUUAUGUACUUUUAGAUAAUAAAUCGAUAUUUUGAAAAAAUUUAAUAGUUUA